UCCUCCUUGUAUGGAGGCAGUUCGGCCAGAGUGAUACAACUGACCGUAGGGGUUGCGCUCGUUAUGGGACUUAACCCGACAUCUCACGACACGAGCUGACGACAGCCAUGCAGCAUCUGUGUAGAACCCUCGAAGGCGGCCGGUGUUUCCACCAGCUUGCAUCUACAUGUCAAACCUGGGUGAGGUUUUUCGCUUUGUAACGAAUUAAACCACACGCUCCACUGCUUGUGCAGGUCCCCGUCAAUUCCUUUGAGUUUUAGCCUUGCGGCCGUACUCCCCAGGCGGGAUGCUUAACGCGUUAGCUUAAGACACUGAAGGGGUCAAUACCUCCAAUAUCUAGCAUCCAUCGUUUACGGCGUAGACUAC
rnacentral:misc_RNA from 1 species